CUCUGGCGCAAUGGCAGCGCGUGGCACUCCUAAUGCCGAGGCUCCGGGUUCGAGUCCCG
rnacentral:tRNA from 1 species